GAUGAACGCUGGCGGCGUGCCUAAUACAUGCAAGUCGAGCGAACGGACGAGAAGCUUGCUUCUCUGAUGUUAGCGGCGGACGGGUGAGUAACACGUGGAUAACCUACCUAUAAGACUGGGAUAACUUCGGGAAACCGUAGCUAAUACCGGAUAAUAUUUUGAACCGCAUGGUUCAAAAGUGAAAGACGGUCUUGCUGUCACUUGUAGAUGGAUCCGCGCUGCAUUAGCUAGUUGGUAAGGUAACGGCUUACCAAGGCAACGAUGCAUAGCCGACCUGAGAGGGUGAUCGGCCACACUGGAACUGAGACACGGUCCAGACUCCUACGGGAGGCAGCAGUAGGGAAUCUUCCGCAAUGGGCGAAAGCCUGACGGAGCAACGCCGCGUGAGUGAUGAAGGUCUUCGGAUCGUAAAACUCUGUUAUUAGGGAAGAACAUAUGUGUAAGUAACUGUGCACAUCUUGACGAUACCUAAUCAGAAAGCCACGGCUAACUACGUG
rnacentral:rRNA from 1 species